GACGAACGCUGGCGGCGUGCCUAAUACAUGCAAGUUGAGCGAUGAAGAUUGGUGCUUGCACCAAUUUGAAGAGCAGCGGACGGGUGAGUAACGCGUGGGGAAUCUGCCUUUGAGCGGGGGACAACAUUUGGAAACGAAUGCUAAUACCGCAUAACAACUUUAAACAUAAGUUUUAAGUUUGAAAGAUGCAAUUGCAUCACUCAAAGAUGAUCCCGCGUUGUAUUAGCUAGUUGGUGAGGUAAAGGCUCACCAAGGCGAUGAUACAUAGCCGACCUGAGAGGGUGAUCAGCCACAGUGGGACUGAGACACGGCCCAAACUCCUACGGGAGGCAGCAGUAGGGAAUCUUCGGCAAUGGACGAAAGUCUGACCGAGCAACGCCGCGUGAGUGAAGAAGGUUUUCGGAUCGUAAAACUCUGUUGGUAGAGAAGAACGUUGGUGAGAGUGGAAAGCUCAUCAAGUGACGGUAACUACCCAGAAAGGGACGGCUAACUACGUG
rnacentral:rRNA from 1 species